rnacentral:rRNA from 1 species
GGGUUGUGAGGUUAAGCGACUAAGCGUACACGGUGGAUGCCCUGGCAGUCAGAGGCGAUGAAGGACGUGCUAAUCUGCGAAAAGCGUCGGUAAGGUGAUAUGAACCGUUAUAACCGGCGAUGUCCGAAUGGGGAAACCCAGUGCAAUUCGUUGCACUAUCGUUAACUGAAUACAUAGGUUAACGAGGCGAACCGGGGGAACUGAAACAUCUAAGUACCCCGAGGAAAAGAAAUCAACCGAGAUUCCCCCAGUAGCGGCGAGCGAACGGGGAGCAGCCCAGAGUCUGAAUCAGCUUGUGUGUUAGUGGAACGGUCUGGAAAGUCCGACGGUACAGGGUGAUAGUCCCGUACACCAAAAUGCACAGGCUGUGAACUCGAAGAGUAGGGCGGGACACGUGGUAUCCUGUCUGAAUAUGGGGGGACCAUCCUCCAAGGCUAAAUACUCCUGACUGACCGAUAGUGAACCAGUACCGUGAGGGAAAGGCGAAAAGAACCCCGGCGAGGGGAGUGAAAAAGAACCUGAAACCGUGUACGUACAAGCAGUGGGAGCACCUUCGGGUGUGACUGCGUACCUUUUGUAUAAUGGGUCAGCGACUUAUAUUCUGUAGCAAGGUUAACCGUAUAGGGGAGCCGCAGGGAAACCGAGUCUUAACUGGGCGUUAAGUUGCAGGGUAUAGACCCGAAACCCGGUGAUCUAGCCAUGGGCAGGUUGAAGGUUGGGUAACACUAACUGGAGGACCGAACCGACUAAUGUUGAAAAAUUAGCGGAUGACUUGUGGCUGGGGGUGAAAGGCCAAUCAAACCGGGAGAUAGCUGGUUCUCCCCGAAAGCUAUUUAGGUAGCGCCUCGUGAACUCAUCUUCGGGGGUAGAGCACUGUUUCGGCUAGGGGGUCAUCCCGACUUACCAACCCGAUGCAAACUACGAAUACCGAAGAAUGUUAUCACGGGAGACACACGGCGGGUGCUAACGUCCGUCGUGAAGAGGGAAACAACCCAGACCGCCAGCUAAGGUCCCAAAGUCAUGGUUAAGUGGGAAACGAUGUGGGAAGGCACAGACAGCCAGGAUGUUGGCUUAGAAGCAGCCAUCAUUUAAAGAAAGCGUAAUAGCUCACUGGUCGAGUCGGCCUGCGCGGAAGAUGUAACGGGGCUAAACCAUGCACCGAAGCUGCGGCAGCGACACUAUGUGUUGUUGGGUAGGGGAGCGUUCUGUAAGCCUGCGAAGGUGUGCUGUGAGGCAUGCUGGAGGUAUCAGAAGUGCGAAUGCUGACAUAAGUAACGAUAAAGCGGGUGAAAAGCCCGCUCGCCGGAAGACCAAGGGUUCCUGUCCAACGUUAAUCGGGGCAGGGUGAGUCGACCCCUAAGGCGAGGCCGAAAGGCGUAGUCGAUGGGAAACAGGUUAAUAUUCCUGUACUUGGUGUUACUGCGAAGGGGGGACGGAGAAGGCUAUGUUAGCCGGGCGACGGUUGUCCCGGUUUAAGCAUGUAGGCUGGUUGUCCAGGCAAAUCCGGAUAAUCAAGGCUGAGGUGUGAUGACGAGGCACUACGGUGCUGAAGUAACAAAUGCCCUGCUUCCAGGAAAAGCCUCUAAGCAUCAGGUAACAUUAAAUCGUACCCCAAACCGACACAGGUGGUCAGGUAGAGAAUACCAAGGCGCUUGAGAGAACUCGGGUGAAGGAACUAGGCAAAAUGGUGCCGUAACUUCGGGAGAAGGCACGCUGAUAUGUAGGUGAAGCCCCUGCGGGUGGAGCUGAAAUCAGUCGAAGAUACCAGCUGGCUGCAACUGUUUAUUAAAAACACAGCACUGUGCAAACACGAAAGUGGACGUAUACGGUGUGACGCCUGCCCGGUGCCGGAAGGUUAAUUGAUGGGGUUAUCCGUAAGGAGAAGCUCUUGAUCGAAGCCCCGGUAAACGGCGGCCGUAACUAUAACGGUCCUAAGGUAGCGAAAUUCCUUGUCGGGUAAGUUCCGACCUGCACGAAUGGCGUAAUGAUGGCCAGGCUGUCUCCACCCGAGACUCAGUGAAAUUGAACUCGCUGUGAAGAUGCAGUGUACCCGCGGCAAGACGGAAAGACCCCGUGAACCUUUACUAUAGCUUGACACUGAACAUUGAGCCUUGAUGUGUAGGAUAGGUGGGAGGCUUUGAAGCGUGGACGCCAGUCUGCGUGGAGCCAACCUUGAAAUACCACCCUUUAAUGUUUGAUGUUCUAACGUUGGCCCCUUACCGGGGUUGCGGACAGUGUCUGGUGGGUAGUUUGACUGGGGCGGUCUCCUCCCAAAGCGUAACGGAGGAGCACGAAGGUUAGCUAAUCCUGGUCGGACAUCAGGAGGUUAGUGCAAUGGCAUAAGCUAGCUUGACUGCGAGCGUGACGGCGCGAGCAGGUGCGAAAGCAGGUCAUAGUGAUCCGGUGGUUCUGAAUGGAAGGGCCAUCGCUCAACGGAUAAAAGGUACUCCGGGGAUAACAGGCUGAUACCGCCCAAGAGUUCAUAUCGACGGCGGUGUUUGGCACCUCGAUGUCGGCUCAUCACAUCCUGGGGCUGAAGUAGGUCCCAAGGGUAUGGCUGUUCGCCAUUUAAAGUGGUACGCGAGCUGGGUUUAGAACGUCGUGAGACAGUUCGGUCCCUAUCUGCCGUGGGCGCUGGAGAAUUGAGGGGGGCUGCUCCUAGUACGAGAGGACCGGAGUGGACGCAUCACUGGUGUUCGGGUUGUCAUGCCAAUGGCACUGCCCGGUAGCUAAAUGCGGAAGAGAUAAGUGCUGAAAGCAUCUAAGCACGAAACUUGCCCCGAGAUGAGUUCUCCCUGAGACUUUAAGUCUCCUGAAGGAACGUUGAAGACGACGACGUUGAUAGGCCGGGUGUGUAAGCGCAGCGAUGCGUUGAGCUAACCGGUACUAAUGAACCGUGAGGCUUAACCUUACAACGCCGAAG